UACAGAGGUGGCAAGCGUUGUUCGGAAUUACUGGGCGUAAAGGGCGAGUAGGUGGCCAUCUAAGUCAGACGUGAAAUCCCCCGGCUUAACCUGGGAACUGCGUCUGAUACUGGGAGGCUUGAGUAUGGGAGAGGGAUGUAGGAUUCCAGGUGUAGCGGUGAAAUGCGUAGAUAUCUGGAGGAAUACCGGUGGCGAAGGCGGCAUCCUGGACCAUAACUGACGCUGAGGCGCGAAAGCUAGGGGAGCAAACGGGG
rnacentral:rRNA from 1 species